CCACGGUGAAUACGUUCCCGGGUCUUGUACACACCGCCCGUCAUACCAUGGAAGUUGGUUCCGCCUUAAGUCGGCCCUGAAAAGCCGCCCACGGCAGGGUCAAUGACUGGGGUA
rnacentral:rRNA from 1 species